rnacentral:rRNA from 1 species
UGGGGAAUAUUGCACAAUGGGGGGAAACCCUGAUGCAGCGACGCCGCGUGAAGGAAGAAGUAUCUCGGUAUGUAAACUUCUAUCAGCAGGGAAGAUAGUGACGGUACCUGACUAAGAAGCCCCGGCUAACUACGUGCC